CUUAUGUUUUUCUUUGACAGGCAUCACGUCUCUGCCCGAGCUCUUGAGCGAGUUUGGCCGGGAUCUAGCGGAAAUGAAACGAUUUGUUGAGGACGACUGGAAGUUUAGCGGCUUUUUCUUUACAGAGACGAGGCAGCCAUCGAGCUGUAAAAGACAGGGCUACGUCAGAAGGCUCAAUUGCAAACUUCCGAGUCUUCAUCAUGGGUUUUUCAUUGGCAUUUGUAUGGAAAAGUCCGGGUUUACAGGAAACGAUCAGACUUGUCUUUGUCUUGUCUCGAGAGUUUGGCGUCCAAGGAAUUGGAUUUAGAAAAAAAGGAAGGCGGGCCUAUACCCUCAGAAGCUAGGCUCGUGCGAUAACACGGGCUAUCAAAAAAAAUAUCGGAACUCACUAUGUUCGACAUUUGGAUCUUGAUGCUCCAACUCCAGGUUGCAUCCCGAAGAUCAGAAACUGGAACAUAAUCUUUUAGAGAUGUGCGGAAUCUCAUCCGAGCUGGAAGAAACGCAGAAGCGCAGGACCUGUGUCCAACAGGGAUUACUCUUCGUUGCUCAGAGUAGAGAAGCCAACUUCAAAACAAGAUAAAGCACUCGCGCUGCUCAAAUCCAAGCUCCUGGCGUGGAGAGCUGGCUGCAUGACUGCUCAUUCCUUUAGACGCUACAGGGCUUG